ensembl:lncRNA
CGGGAUCUGCAGCGACUUUGCGCAUGCGCGAUUCAUCUGCUGUCUGUACACGGAGCGAUGUGGGUCUGCUCUAAUCAGUGGGACUGCUGUGUAUAUGUCUAUGUGCUGCAGGUUACUGGACUGACCGCCUGUGUUUUGUGAAGGGGAGGAGCUCACAGCAGCAUCUGCUGCUCGUUGAGGACAGUAACUGCAGAACGAUCCGAGCUUUCAUUUCAGAGUCUCCAAAACACCAGAAAAAGUCGCUAGAUUUGUCACUAGUUGCUUUUGUCAAAAAAAAAAAAAAAAAAAAAAACGUGGCCUGGAGGUUUUGGAAAGUCGCUAAGUUGCAACACUGGCAUGUUCGUGCAGAGCUCUCCUCUGUUCCUUGUCAAGCUCAGUUUGUUUGCCAGCUCCGAGAAAAACCAGUUUCUGUGUUUUCAAGCUGUUCAGCAUCAACAGAUCGUGAAGAGACAGAAGCAGAAUUAUUCCAUCAUGAAUGUUUAAUUCUGUCAUGGAGUCCUGGACCAGGUUUAUUCUCCUUCUCCUCGUGAUCAGAUUAUCUGAUGCUGAAGAAGAGCAGAAUAAUCUGACAGGAACUGAGGGAGGAAACAUCACUCUGCCUGAUCCUGUACUGGAGAGAGGAUAUCUGUUAUAUGAAGGAAAUGUUAUUGCUCAGGUGAUAAACAGAGUACUCAUCAUAGAUGAUGGCAUUUAUAUUAGCAGACUUCACUGGAACAAUAACUCUGGACUCUUCACAAUCACAGACCUGCAGAAGAGAGACUCUGGGAUUUAUAAAAUUGACUCUAAAAAAGGAGUAAUUUCUACUAAAUCUAUUUAUAGCCUCACAGUUUACGACUCUGUAGCGCUUCCUGCUGUCCAAACACUGAGUGUGAGCUCUGACAGCUGCUAUCUGCUGUGUGCUGUGGACAAAGCUGCAGAGAUCACACUGUGGUGGUACAAAGAUGAGGAGGUGGUGAACCAGAGCAGCUCUGCUGGACCUCUGCCUCUCACUGUGACCAAGCAGGACCUCAGCUCCUCUUACAGAUGUGUGGCUGGAAACCCUGCAGAAGAAAGGACUCUUCUAGUGGAUCUUCAGACGUUCUGUGGAGAGAACUUCACUGCAGUUCAGAACAACACAGAAUCAAGACAUCAUUGGAUCAUAAUAGCAGUCUCCAUUGGAUGUGUUGCACUUGCAAUUGUUCCACUCGCAUUUUUAAUCAAGUGGAAGUGCUUCAAGAGAAACGAGUGGACAGCCACAGAAAGACAAGAUCCUGAGGGCACAAAGUCAGACGCGGAGUACACUGAAGUAAACAUCUGUCCUGACAGACGCAGUCAGGGAGGAAAUUUACCGGAUUCACCAGGCUCUGUGGAUCGCUCCAAUCUGACGACAGUUUAUGACAAACUGGAGGCUCAUCGGAUGGUGCUGCCAGACUCGGAUGAAUCCUAGAGGAUCAUUAGAAGCUGGUGAUGAGGUUGAAGAGUCCAACAUGACAACAAUAAAAGAACUAGAGAAGCUGAAACUUCUCCAACAUUUCUGGAGUUUAAACGGGUUUGAUGAAGAAGUGAGCAGCAGGAACUGGAAAUGACAUUUUCUGGA